GUCUGGGGCUUUGCAGCUAUUGUGUCACACCAAUCCUGUGUACACUGUACACCUGAGAAGGACACUGACAAACCGAUGUGCUAUGCCUCUGCUUUUAUGGAGGGAUUUUCAAGAAACAUGAAAAUGGCUUGGGCCCCUUUUGACCUGAGAGCCUUGGUCAACAUCAUGAACGAGCUUCUCUGGUGACUGCUCACAACUCGUUUGGCACUUACUCCUGUUAUGCCACCAUGAAAAUCUAUUCUAUAUUGGUGUGUCCCGUGCCUACAGAAUUCAUGUUUUAGAGAGCUGAAGCUGUCAAACAAGUAAUCCAUAGAUGAAAAUUUCACAUUCUGCAUCUGAUGCUUUCAAUAUCUGAAUUGUUUCAGGAGUACAGCUGUAAAAGAGAGCAGAGAAAUGGAACAGUAGCUCUGAGGAAUGUGGAUCAAGACAAGUUAUUUUUUAAUGGGAAAUGCCGUAGCAAUUGUUUAUGCCAAUGAGAAUAAUUCAUAAGAAAAAGGAAGAAGAAAAAAACAAGGAGGAAAUAAAAAGGAAACAAGUGUAAAGCAGCACCAAGAACCAACUUGAGGGAGAAAGAUGAGCAACUUCAGAUGUUAAAGUGUAAAACACCUCACUCAUCUCAGGACCUUGAAGUCUAAUUCACGAUGACAGCAGCAACAACAACACGUCAUUGCGUUAAAUUCCUGAGUUCAAGAGUAUAAUCAGUGGUCCUAAGGAGGUUUUUACGGUGUUACGACAGAGAAUGUGAGUGAAAGGAAAUCUGCCAGUGGAAGAUUUAAGGAACGGUUCUCUGAGCAGGAGACACUUAACAGAAAUUAACUUUCUUCGAUUUAAUGUCAUUUUUUAAUGAUUGACUCUGUUUGAGGUAGGAAGCCAGAGGAGAAUGUGACUUCCUGAUUUCACAAAACUUCUUCCCUUCCAGCCCCGCCUGAGAUCACAGUCAUGUCCAGUGGCACAAUCAACAGCAAGACCAGUGAGAUUCAAAGCAUAGGCAUCUCUCGUGUCCAUCAUUUUCACAAAUUUGAAUUCCUUACAGUUAGUUGUAGUCUCAAUCUCCAUAUAGCAUAGAAUUGUGGUUGAUGUUAAAUAAAUAUU
rnacentral:lncRNA from 1 species